UACGGGGUGCAGCAGGCGCGAAAACUUUACAAUGCUGGCAACAGCGAUAAGGGAACCUCGAGUGCCAGGUUACAAAUCUGGCUGUCGAGAUGCCUAAAAAGCAUUUCAUAGCAAGGGCCGGGCAAGACCGGUGCCAGCCGCCGCGGUAACACCGGCGGCUCGAGUGGUAACCGUUAUUAUUGGGUCUAAAGGGUCUGUAGCCGGCCGGAUAAGUCUCUUGAGAAAUCUGGCAGCUUAACUGUCAGGCUUUCAGGAGAUACUGUCUGGCUCGAGGCCGGGAGAGGUGAGAGGUACUUCAGGGGUAGGGGUGAAAUCUUGUAAUCCUUGAAGGACCACCAGUGGCGAAGGCGUCUCACCAGAACGGACCUGACGGCAAGGGACGAAAGCUAGGGGCACGAACCGGAUUAGAUACCCGGGUAGUCCUAGCCGUAAACGAUACUCGCUAGGUGUCGGCCACGGUGCGACCGUUGUCGGUGCCGUAGGGAAGCCGUGAAGCGAGCCACCUGGGAAGUACGGCCGCAAGGCUGAAACUUAAAGGAAUUGGCGGGGGAGCACCACAACGGGUGGAGCUUGCGGUUUAAUUGGAUUCAACGCCGGAAAUCUUA
rnacentral:rRNA from 1 species